AUGGGUCAUAGGUAUAUGGUCAAUUGACUUUAGAUCAAGUGGGAGUUUGUUGGAUUUGUAUCCUUGAAACCAAUUAUUGGCUGACAUAUUAUAUAAUUCUAGGGCCUAUACUUGUACUUGUAACUUUUUAUUAUCAAUAAAGGGCUUUUUCUUUCUAAUAAUGUUUAUGUGUCCAUGAUUUAUCCUAGAAAUUAACAAA
rnacentral:lncRNA from 1 species